rnacentral:lncRNA from 1 species
GUCUGAGAUCUGCAAGUGUGAGCCUCUGAGUGCUGCGCUGUCUCCCCACCAGGUCUUCUGCUUCUGCCUGGAUGGGAGCAGGAAGGACCCCCAACUAUGGUGUUGGGGGUCAGCACUACUGCCUGGUGGUUUGCUGCCCUCAGAUAAGAGGGGCUGGUGCACAUCUGAAAAAACACAAAUGUGGCUGGCAGGAUUUUCUACCCCUGAAAGGAUUUUGGAAUCUGUAUCCUGGAAACCUGAGGCAGUUGAACCUAGUAAAGACCUGGCAAACACCGUGGUCCAGCAUGCUCUGCCCAAAGCAGCCUGGAGUCACUUCAUUUUCUUUUUGGUCAGCUAAGGCACAUGGUAAGACAGCUUCAGGAUCCAAGGGAAUCUUUGGUGGACUGGCUGGGUGGGUUGGAGAGGGAAUGUGGGCAGGG